rnacentral:lncRNA from 1 species
CCCCAAACAAGCUUCAACCACCUGAAAAAAUGGAUUUCGAAAUUUCUCCUGACUCUGCAUGAACUCAUCAAUGGGAUCUGGAUGCCUGAAGUAUACCCUGUACCAAUGCCAUGCCAUGGCUUGUCUAUUGUCUAAUCUGGCUACAGUCUUGUGCCAUGCACAAUCGGCAUCAGUCAAAGCACAAUUUUACCCUACUUAGCUGGAAAUUUCAGCCACUUUCUCUCCUGCAGUUACCAGGCAGGAGAUACUUGUACUUUUCUGCAUUAUUCAACAAGAAUGCAGGGAGGUGAACCGCUGAGAACGAACGAGGAAUAUUACCCAUCUUGCCGAUGAUGUCCCUGAAAGUGUACUCCUCUGGAAGCAUGUCAAACAGGUUAGCACCCUGACAGAUGACAUCUUGAACUCGUUUCGGAUCCAAAAAGUGUGAGAAUCUCACGCGGUCGUAAUGGCUGUAUGCUUUCAUCUUAAAUAUGAAGUCACUGAUAUACCGGAAGCAAAAGCUACAAUGCCACCCUGAAUCAGACAGAAGGAUAUCGGACUGACGGAAAUGUGCAUACCUAGUCUUCCCCGUCUUGUACCUAUGAAUGGAAGCUCUCCAGCUCUUGCUAUCCACAUAAUACUCGAACGAGUAGAGGAAAUUCCGGAACUGAAGAUGAAGGAUCGGAGGAAUGUCAUCACACCAUCUCAGGAGAUUAAUCGUGUGUGCACUAGGGAUCUCAUCGACAUCAGACA